UACGGGGGGGGCAAGCGUUGUUCGGAAUUACUGGGCGUAAAGGGCGCGUAGGCGGCCUUCUAAGUCGGACGUGAAAUCCCUCGGCUUAACCGAGGAACUGCGUCCGAGACUGAAAGGCUUGAAUCCGGGAGAGGGAUGUGGAAUUCCAGGUGUAGCGGUGAAAUGCGUAGAUAUCUGGAGGAACACCGGUGGCGAAGGCGGCAUCCUGGACCGGCAUUGACGCUGAGGAGCGAAAGCGUGGGGAGCAAACAGGG
rnacentral:rRNA from 1 species